GCAGCAAUAAUGAAUGGAAACGCACUGUAGCCAAGGAAGUUUCGCUGCGUUCAAGUCACUGUUAAGGUUUAGACCCUGAGCCUAUACUUAUAAAAAAAACAACCGAAUUUCUGUGUGAAGAAUGGACUGGCCAGGCAAAACCGAGACUAUUCUUUGGAAUCGUAAACAAUUAUAUUGCGAGUGUUACUUUUUUUGAUAGUGCGUUUCGGGGGACAUAUUGGACAGUCUAUGAUAGGCUACUGUAGCCUGAUGUGAUUGUGUUACAUCUAUAUGAAAGUAAUGCGCUGUCAGCUUUUUUCCUUGUUUUCCCACACAUGGAGGUAAUGCGUUGUUGAACAAUAUUAUUUCCUUUGGAAUACCUUGAAAGAGUUGUAGGAUUUUUUUUCAACCAGUUGGAGGAACUCGACCAGUUGAGAAAUGGGGAAUAUUGAGAGUGUGGAUGGGCACUCGGAGAUGAAGCCUCACAUCAUGCCCCUGAAGGUCCCUAUGCCCGAUUCCACAGAGUUGGAGGAGAAGUUUGCUAUUGUUUUGAAUUCCAUGAAUCUACCUCCAGACAAAGCAAGACUUCUAAGACAGUAUGACAACGAGAAGAAGUGGGACCUUAUAUGUGACCAGGAGAGAUUUCAAGUAAAGAACCCGCCACACACAUACAUCCAGAAGCUACGCAGCUACCUAGAUCCUGGAGUCACCCGAAAGAAGUUCCGAAGGCGGGUCCAAGAAUCCACUAAAGUCUUGCGGGAGUUGGAGAUCUCCCUGCGGACCAACCACAUCGGGUGGGUCAGAGAGUUCCUCAACGAUGAGAACCGAGGUCUUGACAUCUUGGUGGAGUACCUCUCCUUUGCCCAGUGUGCUGUUAUGUUGAAUUUUGAGGGUCUGGAGGUGGGGGAGGACGGGCCACUGGAGAUGAGUAAGUCCUGGAGCAGGUCCAUCGAGGAUCUGCACCAGACGGGCAGCCAGCCCUUCUGCAACACCCUGGUGCGCUCGGCCCGCCAGUCCGUCCUGCGAUAUGGCUCGGUGACGAACACCAAAACCAUCAAGAACUCCCGUCUCGUCAGCCAGAAGGACGAUGUACACGUGUGCAUCAUGUGCCUGAGAGCCAUCAUGAACUACCAGUACGGCUUCAACAUGGUCAUGUCCCAUCCGCACGCUGUCAACGAGAUCGCUCUCAGCCUGAACAAUAAGAACUCGAGGACGAAAGCGCUGGUGUUGGAGCUGCUGGCCGCCGUCUGUCUGGUCCGAGGAGGCCACGAAAUCAUCCUCUCAGCGUUCGAUAACUUUAAAGAGGUGUGUAAGGAGAAGCAGCGAUUCGAGAGGCUGAUGGAUUACUUUCGCUCUGAGGAAGCAAACAUUGACUUCAUGGUGGCCUGCAUGCAGUUCAUCAACAUCAUGGUCCACUCGGUGGAGGACAUGAACUUCAGGGUCCACCUGCAGUACGAGUUCACUAAGCUGGGCCUGGACGACUACUUGGAGAAAUCGAAGCACACAGAGAGCGACAAGCUGUCGGUGCAGAUCCAGGCCUACCUUGACAACGUGUUCGACGUCGGCGGUCUACUGGAAGAUGCAGAAACUAAGAACGCAGCGCUGGAGAAGGUGGACGAGCUCGAGGAGCACCUGUCCCACGUGACGGAGAAGCUGCUGGACUUGGAGAAUGAGACCAUGAUGAAAGUAGCAGACCUGGAGAAGAUUGUCCUUCAAAAGGAUAAGGAGCUACACGUAAUGCGGGAAACCUCUGAGUCGACCAGCACCCAGGUGAGCACCCUGAGGAGGAUGAUCAAGGAGAAGGACGCGGCCUACCAGAGACACUUCAGCAUCGAGAAGCGGCUGAUGGAGCUGGAGCAACAGGGCACCAUCCGCCUGCACAAGAAACCCGACGGCGACAUCGCCAUCGAGCCGCUAGCCAGCGGCGCCUGCGGAGGCGGAGUCCCGGGCGGUGCCGGUAUCCCUGGCGACCGUGGCCUCGGGUUCCCGCUGGGCGGCGGCGGACAGUCGCUGCUGCUGCAGGAGCCUCCUGUCGAGCGAACGGCGGCAGAGGGCGUCGACCCCAGUUUACCCCCCGCCAGCGAGGCUCCGCCCCCGCCGCCUCCUCCACCCCCGCCGCCUCCACCGCUUCCCUCGGCCGCAGGCAUCCCGUGUGCACCAGGUCCGCCCCCACCUCCACCUCUGCCGGACGGUUCUCGCUCCUUCCCCAUACUGAGUUUGGGCCUGUCAGCGAUCAGAAUCAAGAAGCCAAUCAAAACGAAGUUCCGCUUGCCAAUCUUCAACUGGACGGCGCUCAAGCCCAAUCAGAUCAACGGCACCGUCUUCAACGAGAUUGACGACGAGCGCGUCCUGGAGGAGUUGGACCUAGAGAGGUUUGAGGAGCUGUUCAAGACCAGAGCCCAGGUGGCUACGGUGGAUCUGUCCAGCACUACAAACAAGGUGGCCAACAAGGCUGUGAACAAAAUCACCCUGCUGGACGCCAAUCGCUCCAAGAACCUGGCCAUCACACUGAGAAAGGCCAACAAGAAACCUGAGGAGAUCUGCAAAGCCAUAGAGAAGUUCGACCUGAAGGCCCUGCCCGUGGACUUCGUGGAGUGUCUGAUGCGCUUCCUGCCCACGGAGGCCGAGGUGAAGGUGCUGCGGCAGUACGAGCGCGAGCGGCGCCCGCUGGACCAGCUGGCGGAGGAGGACCGCUUCAUGAUGCUCUUCAGUAAGAUCGAGAGGCUCACGCAGCGCAUGAACAUCAUCACCUUCGUGGGGAACUUCUCCGACAGCAUCACCAUGCUGACGCCGCAGCUCAACGCCGUGAUCGCCGCCUCCGGCUCCGUCAAGUCCUCGUCCAAGUUGAGGAGGAUGCUUGAGAUCAUCCUAGCCCUGGGUAACUACAUGAACAGCAGCAAAAGAGGCUCAGUGUAUGGCUUUAAACUGCAGAGUCUGGAUCUGCUGUUGGACACCAAGUCGACAGACAGGAAGAUGACCCUGCUCCACUACAUCGCGCUCAUCGUCAAGGAGAAGUACUCAGACCUGGCAAACUUCUACAGCGAGCUUCACUAUGUGGACAAGGCAGCAGCAGUGUCCUUGGAGAACGUGCUGCUGGACGUGCGGGAGCUGGGCAAGGGCAUGGACCUGAUCAAGAGGGAGUGCAGCCGGCACGACCACCCGGUGCUCAAGGCCUUCCUGCACUCCAGCGACGCCCUGCUGGACAAGCUGCAGAAGGACGCCAAGGCAUCGGAGGAGGCCUUCAACAAUGUGGUGAACUUCUUUGGCGAGAGCUCAAAGACGACUCCCCCGUCUGUGUUCUUCCCCGUGUUCGUGAGGUUCAUCAAAGCUUACAAGGAUGCAGUGGAGGAAAACCAGCAGAGGAAAAAGCAGGAGGAAGCCUUGAGAGAGAAGUUACUGGCGCAGGAGGCUAAACAGCACGACCCCAAGGUCCAGGCCCACAAGAAGAAGCAGCAGCAGCAGGAGCUGAUCGCAGAGCUGAGGAAGCGGCAGGCUAAAGAGCACCGGCCCGUGUACGAGGGCAAGGACGGGACCAUAGAGGACAUCAUCACAGUGUUGAAGAGCGUGCCCUUCACAGCGCGCACCGCUAAGCGGGGCUCGCGGUUCUUCUGUGAAGCCAACCUCUGCGAAGACGGCAACUGCUAGCCCUCCUCCCAACCCUACCCCCACACACACUAAUGCCAAGGUUGUCUGCAGAUCUCAGAAACCAGCCGUUCCUGAGAGCCGACGCCUUGCUGCGGAGCGGCUGGAAGAGGCCUUAAACCACCCGUGUGUCCCCCAACACUUACAACCCCCCGCCUCCCCAGACCACCUCCCCUGUGCCCUGUGUCCUGGUGGGGGUCCCCCGUACCACCUCCCCUGUGCCCUGUGUCCUGGUGGGGGUCCCCCGUACCCCGGACCACCUCCCCUGUGCCCUGUGUCCUGGUGGGGGUCCCCCGUACCCCGGACCACCUCCCCUGUGCCCUGUGUCCUGGUGGGGGUCCCCCGUACCCCGGACCACCUCCCCUGUGCCCUGUGUCCUGGUGGGGGUCCCCGUACCCCGGACCACCUCCCUGCCCUGAACCCCACGCCUGAGUCAACAGAGAGACUGGAAGUGAUGACCGGGGGCAUCAAACCCAUGACAUAGUGCCGUCUGGGUAUUUAUUUAUUUAUGGAGAUACUUCUGCAGGAAUAAUUACAGCGACUGCAUUGGGCCGACUUUCCUUUCUCACUCCAAAGAUAGACUCUAACAUCGCCAUGGGCUCAGUUAGACGGACUGCACGAGAUCCUGCUGGACCUUGGCACUGGGAUCAAGGCAGUGUAUGAAACCCUAAUUAAAGAGGGUUCCAUACACUAUUUAAAGAGGCUUCAUGCAGGUGUGGUCAGUCUGGACUCCGUUGGCCAAAGCAGGAAGGACAAUGCUUCUACCCACAAGUGCCUGCAAAACAUUCCUAAAGCCAUAACGUCGGGCCGGGCAUGAACCCGGCUUGCUGACACAUAUGCUAACUCUUAAAGGAGAACUCUUGCUCUGACGAGGUUUGAUCUGUCUUUCCUCUGAAUAUCCAAGAAGAUCACGAGUAACAGAGAACGUGGAACGACUUUUGGAAGGACUUGAGAUUGAGCACACCGUCGACAACAGAACAGAGACUUGGAGUUGUUUGCAUUCCUAGUUUCAAUAUUGUACGCUUCCAUCGGUCCUUUGGACUGCUAGCCAAACCAAACAUGCUUUCAUGUCUUACUUUUGUCAAAAGUGCCUUUCGUAACGACAGUAUUAUUUUCAUUAAGUCAGCCAUAACGUGUAUCUUUGAAGUCUUAAAUGCAAUUUCCUUUUUACUAUGGCAUGAACACUAAAAAUAUAAUCAACAUACAAAGGUUAAAAAUAUGAAAGUUAAAUGGAGGAAAUGUCAGGGGAAAGAGCUUUUUAAUUUGCCUCUUUGCAAUCAAUUUGGUGUUCUGUUUUGAAGGAAGAUGUUAAAAACUGUCAUGUAUCUGAACUUUAUAAAUAUAUGUAUAUAUAUAUUUGACAACACUUUCUGUCAAACUUAGGAAGUGACACAAGAAUGAAGAUUAUUUGAUAUAGACUGCUGUUUUAUAAGUCAGAGGUGGAUAAAUUGUAAAUGCAGUGGAUGAAGGAUAUUUCUAUUAUAAUCAUGCAGGUUGGGAUGUCUUUGUGCUUCUAUUGUACAUCAGAUCAAUUCCCUCUUAAAAGCAUCGAGUAGCAAAAUGAUUGUGCACUUUGAGAAUUAUUUUUGUGUUCUAGUAUGGAACUGUCAAUAGAGAGCGACCAAAUGUACACUACUCCGUUUGCCUUAACCUUGUUUUAGACAUUAUUUGAAGUGGAAAUGUCCUGGGCCAAAUACAUGCAAAUCAAUGAAUGAAGAAAAAAGCGACUUUCUUUGAAAUUGAAAUAAAGUGAAAUGCUUGCAUUUCUCUUUUCCUUAACAAUCAGUCAAUCUAUACGAGAACUUUAAAAAAUAUAUCUUUCUGAUGGACAUAUAAAAUAAAAAAUAUAUAAAGCAGAAGGUGGGACAUUCAAACAUUUCUACAAAUUCACAUUUUAUUUCCGAAAUUUGUGGUUAUGAGUUAUAUAUUCAAUGGUAAUUCACUGAUGUUUUGCUCCAGCCAUGAUGACAGAAGCCAUUCUAUUUCAAAUGAAGGUCAGAGUCACCAUACAUUUCUACUAUAAAAAUCCAUUUAAUUUCUUAUAUCAAAAAAAUCAAAAUUAACCAAAAUUAAAACAAACAACUAAACCAAAAACAUCCAUGUGAGUUCUGCAAUCCGAGAGACAUUCUCAAAAUCAAGAAAACCAAAAACUAAAAUGAUUUUUCUAAUAAGCAGUGAAAUAAAGAACGUAGCAUGGCGGGACUUUUAAAAGCACAUUUUGUGAAUACUGUUAAGUAGUGGAAGGGUGGUGCCAAGGGCGUGCGGUGUGAGGAAGCUGUGGAAGAUUGAAUAAGAGGUGCAGAGACGGAGCAAUCCAAACCGCGACAGGUUCAAAGAGGAGGGCAGAUGGCUAGCGAUAGCAUUAGCAGCAGCAAGGCAAAGGAAUCAACAAAGGAAUGCUUAUCAGGAGGGACAUCAGCCCCCCCUACCCCCCCCCGUUAGGAAUGCACUUAACAAUGAGCACUAACCCAAAUUACAUGAACACCCCCCUCCCCAAAACAAACAAACAAACAAACAAACAAACAAACAUCAAAUACACAAGAAAUCAACCCAACAACUUCAAAACUCAUUUCAUACAAGAACGUACCAUCGACUUGGCUCCCGGGCCUUUCCUGACAAAAAAAAUAACAUUUUACAAUGGAGGACAAAAAGACCAAAAGCUAAAUACAGCCGUUCAUUUACUAAAUGUUACGGA